AGCUGCAAGCCCACUGAAUAUUUGCGAUUAGAAUAAUUAGAAUUAUUUGCAAUUAGAAUAAUCCCCUUUUGCAAGAAAAGAAUUCAUAACAAGAGAUACUAGAUAGGAGCCUGAGCAUCAGACUUUUCUAAGUGCCAGUUUCAUCUCAUGCUAGGUUUCCCACCUCCUGCCUUGUUUGCUUUUCUCUAAUUUGAUGCAGAGAAUUGUGUUUUUAUAUUAUUGCAAAUCUUCAGAUUGCUGGAUCCUCAGGCAUUUUGGAUUGUAGGGUAUUGGCAAAGAGUGCCUCUCUGAGCAUAGAUACAUUUUAAAAAAAUCUUUCAAAUGGGUCGAUUUCUAUGGAGUUUCUUUGUCUAUUUUGUAGGAGAAAAUCAAGAGUAUAGUGUCCAGCAAGCCAACGAAGAAUUUGUAUCAGGGAGGAAGAAGUCCUCAACUGUGCUCACUGUCAAGGCUGAUAAAACAAUGUGCUAAAUGUCAAUGCUGAUAGGUCCAAAAGAAUGAAGAGGAAAGACUGAGCACUGGAUUUGGCAAUAUGAAGAAACACUCUCCAGUUCCCGUGAGAAGGACUUCUGACUUUUCUGCUCUACACAGACAUUUCCACUUCAUUCAGCCACUGUCCUAUAUUCAGGACUAUAGCUUCAAGCAGCUGGCAGCUCAUUAUUAUUACUGUCCAGGGCCAUGAAUAAGGUUAACUUAUAUCCAGCCAAUUAUCCAGAUGAAAUUCAUCCUCAGGGUGAGUUUGAUACUGAAUAAUGCAAAAUGUUUCAAGCUCCUGGCCCUGUAGCAGGAGCACGAUCAGAUUCCACACCGAAUUCACCUGCCCUUCUGCACACUGAACAGGUCACAUCCUUGAUUGUUACCUUUGCUGCGUGCUCAUGUUUCACAUGAGCCUGUAGGUUGUAUAUUUUGCAAUAUUGACUUUCACGUUAUUUAGUAUAGGGCUAAGCAUAAUGCCAGUGCUAUUUUAUGGAAAAACACAAUUAAAAACUAUUCCACCAUGGUUCCUACUUCUUUACCAUUAGUUACCAUUUCUAAAGAUAUUAAAUAUUUGAUAUAUUUUGAAUCUUUCAUACAUAAUAAAAUAUUUUCUAUAAUGAUAAUAAUGUAUCCA
rnacentral:lncRNA from 1 species